rnacentral:misc_RNA from 1 species
UUUUCUUUUUCUUUUUUUUUGUUUAAUCUGUGGGCGUUGUUGUUAUAUAGAAUGGUGUCUGCAUACGUUGCAUGUGCAUGAGGUAUGACAGGAAUGUAACCUUUGUCGCAUUAGUCCCCUAAUCCUUUCCAUUCUCCUUGGAGGUUUCUGUGUCUUAUAGCGUGGGAAGCUUGCAAAUUUUGAUUUGCACAAUGUCAUCAUCCAUGAUGCUGUAGGGCGAAUAAGCAAUCUGAUGGAUCACAGUUCUGAAGAAGAAUCUGACAUUAGUGAAUCAGAGAUCAAUGACUACAAGGACAAGCCAUAUGAAGAUUUGAAGACUGGAAAAUACAAAGUAAAGGUAAAUGGCACCUUAAGAUGUCCAUUCUGUGCUGGGAAAAAGAAGCAGGAUUACAAGUACAAGGAUUUGCUUCAACAUGCAUCAGGAGUGGCUAAGGGUUCUGCCAACAGGAGUGGAAAACAAAAGGCAAACCAUCUUGCCCUAGCAAUGUAUUUGGAAAAUGACCUAGUAAAUGAAGCAGAUCAAAUUCAACGUCCAGUUUUGCCCCAACCUGUCAAUCAAACACCAGAGCAACUAGAUGUCUUUGUAUGGCCUUGGAUGGGAAUAAUAGUUAACAUUGUGACUAAUGAUAAUGCCUUAUGUGAGAGUGGAUACUGGUUGAAAAAGUUUGCUCAGUAUAAACCUUUGGAAGUUUAUACUUUCUGGAGUGAACAAGAGCAAACUGGACAGGCUGUGGUGAAAUUUAACAAUGAUUGGAAUGGCUUUGUUAAUGCAACUCAAUUUGAAAAAUCAUUUGAAACUUUGCAUCAUGGUAAAAAGGAUUGGAAAGCACAAAAGACACAUCCUGGGUCAAGUAUAUAUGGGUGGUGUGCUCGUGCUGAUGAUCAUGAUUCUGAGGGGCCAAUAGGAGAGUAUCUUCGUAGGGAAGGGAAGUUGAGAACAAUUUCUGGCAUUGUCCAAGAAGCAACUGAAAGCAGAAAUACUGUUGUGGCACACCUAGCGAAUAAAAUUGAUCAGACAAAUGAAAAUUUGGGUGAACUCGAAUACAAAUACAAUGAAAAGACCAUGUCCUUGAGUCGGAUGCUUGAAGAGAAAGACAAACUGCACUAUGCUUUCCUUGAAGAAAGAAGGAAGAUGCAGCGGCUUCAACGUGAUAAUCUUCACAGAAUCAUGGAAGAGGCAGAAAAUCUGAAUGAUGAACUAGAGGCUAAGAAGAGGAAACUUGAUUGCUGGAGCAAAGAAUUGAACAAACGUGAAGCACUAACUGAGCGUGAGAGACAAAAACUUGAUGAAGAGAAGAAAAUGAAUGAUGUGAGAAACAAUUCACUUCAUUUGGCAUCUAUGGAGCAGAAGAAGGCUGAUGAGAAUGUCUUAAGGCUGGUUGAAGAGCAAAAGAGGGAGAAAGAAGAGGCUCUAAAUAAGAUACUUCUGUUGGAAAAACAGUUAGAUGCCAAACAAAAGUUGGAACUUGAAAUUGAAGAGCUAAAAGGGAAACUUCAGGUGAUGAAGCAUCUUGGUGAUCAAGAUGAUACAGCCGUUCAAAAGAAGAUGAAGGAGAUGAAUGAUGAGCUGGAGCAGAAAGUAGAGGAUUUGGCUGAUGUUGAAUCUCUGAAUCAAACUCUUAUUGUAAAAGAGCGCCAGAGCAAUGAUGAGCUUCAAGAGGCACGUAAAGAAUUAAUUCAGGGUUUGAAAGAUACAUUGUCCUCAGUUGUUAGGACUAAUAUUGGAAUAAAAAGAAUGGGAGAAAUUGAUGAAAAGGCAUUCCUAAAUACAUGCGAGCAAAGAUUUCCAAAAGAGGAAGCUCAGGUUCAGGCCACUACUUUAUGCAGCUUGUGGCAGGAGAAUUUGAAGAAUCCAGACUGGCAUCCCUUUAAAAUCAUCAAUCAUGUUGAAGGGAAUCAUCAGGAAAUAGUAGAUGAAGAAGAUGAGAAGCUGCAAAAUCUCAAGCAGGAGUGGGGGGAUGAGAUAUACAGGGCAGUUGUUACUGCUUUGAUAGAGUUAAAUGAGUAUAAUCCGAGUGGGAGAUACGUGAUUCCUGAGCUUUGGAACUUUAAAGAAGGAAGGAAAGCCACGUUGAAGGAGGUGAUUGGUUAUAUUGUGAAGAAUAUCAAGACCCUUAAGCGUAAGAGAUGAAGAGACCUUGAUGCUAAGGUGUCUCUGGAAGAAAUGGAAGGUCUUCAACAAGAGGUUUGCUGAAAGUGCAACCAAUGAAACCUGAAGCUGGGACCAUGAUUCGUCAGAGUUAAUUUUAUGUCAAGUAGCUCCGUCAAGGUGUAUCUUGAAUUGUGAACUUAAUUUCUAGUACAAAAUCCUCUUUAAACUCCUGAAUCUCUUUCAAAUUGCGAAGUUCCCUGGUUCGUUACUACUAGUGUUUUUUUUUAUGUAAGUGGAAUUGUUUUUACAUUAUUGGAAGAUCAACUAUCAUUUCGGUUUGGACCCGCAAAUAAAUUGGACCGGUUGAUAGUUCCAUGGCUUCAAACCGACCUGAAAUCAGGACCGUCCUCCCAUUGAACUUGAAUCGGACUCUAGCUCAUGAAAUGAUAAAUAUUCAAAAGUUGGGGUUUUGCUCCCAGUCUACGCCCUCCGAUGUAUGAGGAAAGGCCCUCAAAAUGGAUGUUGGGAUGUUUUGGGCUCGCUUACUCAUGGCUUAGCCGAAAGUUGUUCAAGGCAUGAGAGGGCCAUUGAGGGGGAGACAAGGAUAAUGGGGACAAUGAUAAUUUACCGGCUUAACGGUCCUUUUCUAAUUGAUUACAAGUACGGACAAAUUCUUAUUUAUUUGAUGGAGAUUUUUUUCCAAUUCUCUCCAUUUGUAAUUGAUUGAAAAGGAAUC